AGGGGAAUAUUGCACAAUGGGCGCAAGCCUGAUGCAGCCAUGCCGCGUGUAUGAAGAAGGCCUUCGGGUUGUAAAGUACUUUCAGCGGGGAGGAAGGGAGUAAAGUUAAUACCUUUGCUCAUUGACGUUACCCGCAGAAGAAGCACCGGCUAACUCCGUGCCAGCAGCCGCGGUAAUACGGAGGGUGCAAGCGUUAAUCGGAAUUACUGGGCGUAAAGCGCACGCAGGCGGUUUGUUAAGUCAGAUGUGAAAUCCCCGGGCUCAACCUGGGAACUGCAUCUGAUACUGGCAAGCUUGAGUAUCGUAGAGGGGGGUAGAAUUCCAGGUGUAGCGGUGAAAUGCGUAGAGAUCUGGAGGAAUACCGGUGGCGAAGGCGGCCCCCUGGACGAAGACUGACGCUCAGGUGCGAAAGCGUGGGGAGCAAACAGG
rnacentral:rRNA from 1 species